ACGCUCGACACCUACGGGCAGCAGUGGGGAAUAUUGCACAAUGGGGGAAACCCUGAUGCAGCGACGCCGCGUGAAGGAAGAAGUAUCUCGGUAUGUAAACUUCUAUCAGCAGGGAAGAAAGUGACGGUACCUGACUAAGAAGCCCCGGCUAACUACGUGCCAGCAGCCGNGUAUCUGAGGCGGGCGUGGACGAAGGC
rnacentral:rRNA from 1 species